GGGUCGCGGAGAGAACCUGGAAACAGAGAAAGCUGAUGCAGCUGCUUAUAGAAAAACAAGACAGCGUUUAUUUUAAAAGAACCCUUUGGUUUCUGUGAGGAUCAAAGCACGUGUGGGACUAGGAGGGGUCAAGUGUGAGCAGGAACAGAAGAUGAGGCACCAGAUGGCAGAAGCAAGCAAACUAUACCAACAAGACACCUAAGAAGAAAAAGCCACAAUACAGCAUCAAGGAGCAGCAAAUAUCCAGUUCAGCACUGCUUGUGAAUAGGACUUCACUGAGACUUCAGCAUCAUUGAUUUCAAAGCAUCUGGCUGUGGGAGGAGUUAUGACAUCUGUACACCUGCCAGACAUGG